AUUGAACGCUGGCGGCAGGCCUAACACAUGCAAGUCGAGCGGAUGAAGGGAGCUUGCUCCUGGAUUCAGCGGCGGACGGGUGAGUAAUGCCUAGGAAUCUGCCUGGUAGUGGGGGAUAACGUCCGGAAACGGGCGCUAAUACCGCAUACGUCCUGAGGGAGAAAGUGGGGGAUCUUCGGACCUCACGCUAUCAGAUGAGCCUAGGUCGGAUUAGCUAGUUGGUGGGGUAAAGGCCUACCGAGGCGACGAUCCGUAACUGGUCUGAGAGGAUGAUCAGUCACACUGGAACUGAGACACGGUCCAGACUCCUACGGGAGGCAGCAGUGGGGAAUAUUGGACAAUGGGCGAAAGCCUGAUCCAGCCAUGCCGCGUGUGUGAAGAAGGUCUUCGGAUUGUAAAGCACUUUAAGUUGGGAGGAAGGGCAGUAAGUUAAUACCUUGCUGUUUUGACGCUACCAACAGAAUAAGCACCGGCUAACUUCGUG
rnacentral:rRNA from 1 species